AUACUUACCUGCGAUUAUUCCUAAUGUGAAUAACUCGUGCGUGUUAUUUUUGGUAGCCGGGAAUGGCGUUCGCGCCGUCCCGAC